GACGAACGCUGGCGGCGCGCCUAACACAUGCAAGUCGAACGAGCGAGAGAGAGCUUGCUUUCUCGAGCGAGUGGCGAACGGGUGAGUAACGCGUGAGGAACCUGCCUCAAAGAGGGGGACAACAGUUGGAAACGACUGCUAAUACCGCAUAAGCCCACGGUGCCGCAUGGCACAGAGGGAAAAGGAGCAAUCCGCUUUGAGAUGGCCUCGCGUCCGAUUAGCUAGUUGGUGAGGUAACGGCCCACCAAGGCGACGAUCGGUAGCCGGACUGAGAGGUUGAACGGCCACAUUGGGACUGAGACACAGCCCAGACUCCUACGGGAGGCAGCAGUGGGGAAUAUUGCACAAUGGGGGAAACCCUGAUGCAGCGACGCCGCGUGGAGGAAGAAGGUCUUCGGAUUGUAAACUCCUGUUGUUGGGGAAGAUAAUGACGGUACCCAACAAGGAAGUGACGGCUAACUACGUGCCAGCAGCCGCGGUAAAACGUAGGUCACAAGCGUUGUCCGGAAUUACUGGGUGUAAAGGGAGCGCAGGCGGGAAGACAAGUUGGAAGUGAAAUCUAUGGGCUCAACCCAUAAACUGCUUUCAAAACUGUUUUUCUUGAGUAGUGCAGAGGUAGGCGGAAUUCCCGGUGUAGCGGUGGAAUGCGUAGAUAUCGGGAGGAACACCAGUGGCGAAGGCGGCCUACUGGGCACCAACUGACGCUGAGGCUCGAAAGUGUGGGUAGCAAACAGGAUUAGAUACCCUGGUAGUCCACACCGUAAACGAUGAUUACUAGGUGUUGGAGGAUUGACCCCUUCAGUGCCGCAGUUAACACAAUAAGUAAUCCACCUGGGGAGUACGACCGCAAGGUUGAAACUCAAAGGAAUUGACGGGGGCCCGCACAAGCAGUGGAGUGUGUGGUUCAAUUCGACGCAACGCGAAGAACCUUACCAAGUCUUGACAUCCCUUGACAGACAUAGAAAUAUGUUUUCUCUUCGGAGCAAGGAGACAGGUGGUGCAUGGUUGUCGUCAGCUCAUGUCGUGAGAUGUUGGGUUAAGUCCCGCAACGAGCGCAACCCUUAUGGUCAGUUACUACGCAAGAGGACUCUGGCCAGACUGCCGUUGACAAAACGGAGGAAGGUGGGGAUGACGUCAAAUCAUCAUGCCCUUUAUGACUUGGGCUACACACGUACUACAAUGGCGUUAAACAAAGAGAAGCAAGACCGCGAGGUGGAGCAAAACUCAGAAACAACGUCCCAGUUCGGACUGCAGGCUGCAACUCGCCUGCACGAAGUCGGAAUUGCUAGUAAUCGUGGAUCAGCAUGCCACGGUGAAUACGUUCCCGGGCCUU
rnacentral:rRNA from 1 species